rnacentral:rRNA from 1 species
UACGUAGGCAGCAAGCGUUGUCCGGAAUCAUUGGGCGUAAAGCGCGCGUAGGUGGCCCCAUAAGUCCGCUGUGAAAGUCAAAGGCUCAACCUUUGAAAGCCGGUGGAUACUGUGGGACUAGAGUACGGAAGAGGCGAGUGGAAUUCCUGGUGUAGCGGUGGAAUGCGCAGAUAGUCAGGAGGAACACCGGUGGCGAAGGCGGGAUCUCUGGGCCGAUGACUGACGCUGAGGAGCGAAAGCAUGGGGAGCGAACAGG